AGAGAACUUAAGACUUAAGCUCAAAAUAUCUUGUUGAGAGUUCUAGAGAGGGAAAGCAAGAGGAGGAGAGAAAAGAUUAAGUCAAGGCUUGGAAGCUUGGGGAUUUGAAAGGGAAAUUCAAGGCUUGAGCUCAAGGUUGCCUGCCGGAAGGACCAUCGCAAGGCCAAUAUCACUGUGGAGUUUUAAGCAUUGGCAAACACAAUUGGGCAUGGGUUGUUGUCAAAUUAAGUUUGUCUAUGUUGGGUUUUCUUUUGCCAUUAAGAUAUAAUGGAAUUUACAGGAUUCCACUUGCAGUGAAUAUUCAAAUUCCUUUUGAUUGCGGUGGUCUUGGAGGCAAAGGCAAUUUAUAUAGAAGGCAGCUUUAUGGUGGAACAUGCUUUACAAAUUGCGGAAGCAUGAAC